rnacentral:rRNA from 1 species
CCAAUAGCGUAUAUUAAAGUUGUUGCAGUUAAAAAGCUCGUAGUUGAAUUUCGGGGUCAACAAGUUGGUCGUGCCACUGGUAUGCACUGGCUUUGCUGAUUCCUCCUUCUUGUAGAACCGUAAUGCCAUGAAGUUGGUGUUGCGGGAAAACAGGACUGUUACUUUGAAAAAAUUAGAGUGUUUAAAGCAGGCUAACGCUUGAAUACAUUAGCCGGGAAUAAUGAAAUAGGACGACGAUCCUAUUUUGUUGGUUUCUAGGAUUGACGUAAUGAUUAAUAGGGAUAGUUGGGGGCAUUAGUAUUCAAUUGUCAGAGGUGAAAUUCUUGGAUUUAUUGAAGACUGACUACUGCGAAAGCAUUUGCCAAGGAUGUUUUCAUUAAUCAAGAACGAAAGUUAGGGGAUCGAAGACGAUCAGAUACCGUCGUAGUCUUAACCAUAAACUAUGCCGACUAGGGAUCGGAUGAUGUUAAUUUUUUAAUGACUCAUUCGGCGCCUUACG